GAGGGGAGGGAGGGAAGGGGAGGGGAGGGGAGGGAAGGGGAGGGGCGGGCGCGCCUGGGACCGCGGCGAGGACCGUGCCGGAGCCCGCGGGGCGCGAACGCAGCCGCCGCGCUGGGGCCGCGGAGCUCGGGAGCCCGGGAUGAGCCUCAGCCGGAAAAGGGGCUUCUACAAGCAGGACGUGAACAAGACCGCCUGGGAGCUGCCCAAGACCUACGUGUCGCCGACGCACGUCGGCACCGGGGCCUAUGGCGCCGUGUGCUCUGCCAUCGACAAGCGGUCAGGGGAGAAGGUGGCCAUCAAGAAGCUGAGCCGGCCCUUCCAGUCGGAGAUCUUUGCCAAGCGGGCCUAUCGAGAGCUGCUGCUACUGAAGCACAUGCAGCAUGAGAAUGUCAUUGGGCUCCUGGAUGUCUUCACCCCAGCCUCCUCCUUGCGCAGCUUCCACGACUUCUACCUGGUGAUGCCCUUCAUGCAGACGGACCUGCAGAAGAUCAUGGGGAUGGAGUUCAGUGAGGACAAGAUCCAGUACCUGGUGUAUCAGAUGCUCAAAGGUCUUAAGUACAUCCACUCAGCUGGGGUCAUCCACAGGGACCUGAAGCCCGGCAACCUCGCUGUGAACGAGGACUGUGAGCUGAAGAUCUUGGAUUUUGGGCUAGCACGGCCUGCGGACGCUCAGAUGACUGGCUACGUGGUGACCCGCUGGUACCGGGCCCCUGAGGUGAUCCUCAGCUGGAUGCAUUACAACCAGACUGCCGGUCCAGGUGACACGUCCUCCCCUGCCCUCUGCAGUGGACAUCUGGUCUGUGGGCUGUAUCAUGGCGGAGAUGCUGACGGGGAAAACUCUGUUCAAGGGGAAAGAUUACCUGGACCAGCUGACCCAGAUCCUGAAAGUGACUGGCGUGCCGGGCGCAGAGUUUGUGCAGAAGUUGAAGGACAAAGCGGCCAAAUCCUACAUCCAGGCCCUGCCACAGAGCCCCAAGAAGGAUUUCUCUCAGCUCUUCCCCCGCGCCAGCCCCCAGGCUAUAGACCUGCUGGAGAAGAUGCUGGAGCUGGAUGUGGACAAGCGCCUGACGGCCUCGCAGGCCCUCACCCACCCCUUCUUUGAGCCCUUCCGGGACCCCGAGGAGGAGACAGAGGCCCAGCAGCCAUUCGAUGAUUCCUUAGAACACGAGAAACUCACGGUGGAUGAAUGGAAGCAGCACAUCUACAAGGAGAUUGUGAACUUCAGCCCCAUCGCCCGGAAGGACUCGCGGCGCCGGAGUGGCAUGAAGCUCCAGUGACGCAUCUGCCUGACCCUUGGCUGAGCCUGGGGACUGCCACAUGGCAGCACCUACCAAACACUGCCCCUCAGACUGAUAUUUAUUUGUCACUACCAGGUUUCAGCCCUUCUUGGAUUAUAGCCUUCCCAGCAGAGGACAGAGGGCCCUCGUCUUUGUGCAGGAAGCACCUAGUAGAUGCAGAAUUCAAAGAUGUUGGUUGGGAGAAAAUAGCUCCGAUCAUAACUGGCCACAUUAAAAUGCCCUUCUGGAGA